rnacentral:rRNA from 1 species
UGGGGAAUAUUGCACAAUGGGCGAAAGCCUGAUGCAGCGACGCCGCGUGAAGGAUGAAGUAUUUCGGUAUGUAAACUUCUAUCAGCAGGGAAAGAAAAUGACGGUACCUGACUAAGAAGCCCCGGCUAACUACGUGCC